UAAAAGUCCUUCCGCAACAUCAUCUAUGUUAUAAAAGAAUGAAGAUUAAAAAAACCUGCAACACAACCCCUAUUCGCUCGUACGACACGUGUCUCGUGUGGCAUGUGCUCUUGACUCCUCAUGACUUUCCUUAAUUUUUUCUGCAACAACACAAAUGUUGUAGAAUUUUCUCCCAUAACAUAAGCUAUGUUUUAAAAAGUAAAAACAACUUUUUUUUGCAGCAAAACACUGUUUUAAGAAAAAAUCCGAACAAGACCUCAGUUGUAAAGAAUUUUUGUAACAGAGACCGUGUUUCCGAAAGAUAAAUAGUGGUUUACAAAUUUUGCAACAAGUAUCCUCUUGCAGGACUUGUUCUGCAACACCGGUCUUGUUGCAAAAGAGAGGUGAUGCUCGUGGACGUAUAGAUCGGAUGACUAUUUCAGUGUACAUGCAAUGGUUAACGAGGCAACAGCUGUUUUCUCGUUAUUCGUAACAAAAUCUCAGUUGCAAAAACGUUUUACAACACAACCCAUGUUUCCAAAAAAAAAUAGUGGUUCAUCUUUUUUAAACAAGCAUCCUGUUGCAGGACUUGUUCUACAACAUCGAUCUUAUUGCAUAUGGGAGGUGGCGCUCGUAGACAUAGAUCAAAUUAGAUGGCCAUUCCUGUAUACAUCCAAUGGCCAAUGAGACAGCGGAUGUUUUCUCAUUAUCCGUUCGUCGAGGCGUAGCGUGGCCCAUAUAAUUAUUUUACGUUACACAUUACAAACACCUAAAUAUCUCGUGACAAAAAUGGCAUGUCCAAUUGUUCCUCAGCUUGCAGUACAUAAAUAAUAUUUUUUCAGACUCGAUCAACCAAGAUUUAGAAUAGUUUCUUAAUAAAAACCACUUCGCCUUAUUUGACACAUUUAUCUCUCAAGUUAGUUAAUGGGCAUGGGCAUCCAAUAAAUGUAUGAUAAAUGUGCAUACUUCUAUUUUUCAAAGGAUUGUAACACAUACUUAUUUUGCUAUAUAUGGCGACAUACAAACAAUAUUGUGUAUAAUUAAAACAGAAGGUUUUCAAGAGUCAUCAUUUCAGAGCAAUUAAGAACAAAGAUUAAGUAUCAAAAAGUCCUUCAACAAUCACCAGGCCAUUGCACCUUUUCAAAAUGUUUAUCCACACCUUGAUAUUUUUGCAGUCCUUUGUUCUUCGGGUCAAUAGUAUGAGAAACUGCAUCCGGUGGUAGUUAUGAAAAAAAAUUUAGAUUAAGAUUGCAAAGAUAGCCUUGUCACGCAAGCAUAAAAUCUAAUUUCAAGAACGGACAUCAAAUUUUCAUGCAUAUUUCAUGAUUUUUCACACAAAAAGAGUCUUGUCACACAAGUAUGAGAUGAGGGUGUUAUUUUGGCAUGUCGAUAUUUUCAUAUACAUCUCAUAUUUGUGUGCACUAGCGGAGUUUGCAUGAAAAAGCUAUAGGCGGACUAGAUGGUCCAGCCUAUAAAGAUUUUCUACUACAUGGUCCAGCCUAUAAAGAUUUUCUACUAACUGAUAUUCUAUGACCCAUGUGCUGCUAUAAAUAUGAACAGAAACUCCAGAGCUGAGCGUGCCAUAGACCAUUCAACCUUGCCUAAACUCCGUCGGUGCUUCUAUGCCAAAGUUUUUUUUUGUGUCGGCAUUUCAAUAUGCAACUAUUAUGGUCAAAACCUCACCAAAUGACAUGAAACUUCAUGUUUUUUUUGGUGUGUGAAAUGCAUUAGAAAAUGUCUGUAAUUGCCGUUGCGAAGAAACUGUAUGGCCGGUCCUUUGAACCUGACAGCUAUAUAUGUACACUCUAGUUCAGCGGUUAGCAAAUCAUGAAAAUGGGAUCGCUGCCUUGGCAAGUCAUUCACAUGUGGUUGCGGUGGUUAGCUGCCCGUUGAGGUGGAAUAUGGGCAUGCUGUUUUUAGGAAAAAGAUUGCAAUAUUAGUUUACAGGACACAUCGACUUUCGUAAAGCAUCUUCAAUAGAUGGUUUUAAUAUAAAAGUAACUAACUUUUGAACCGUUUGAGACCAAAAACGCAGCUUUAACAGACGGUUCAUAUGUAAAAAAAAUUGGACCGCGACCUCCUCG
rnacentral:lncRNA from 1 species